AUUGAACGCUGGCGGCAGGCCUAACACCUGCAAGUCGAACGAGUGGCGGACGGGUGAGUAAUUUCUGGGAAACUGCCUGAUGGAGGGGGAUAACUACUGGAAACGGUCGCUAAUACCGCAUACCAUCGGAUGUGCCGAGAGGGGCGUAGCUCGGAGGUGGGGUAAAGGCUCACCUAGGCGACGAUCCCUAGCUGGUCUGAGAGGGUUACCAGCCACACUGGAACUGAGACACGGGCCAGACUCCUACGGGAGGCAGCAGUGGGGAAUAUUGCACAAUGGGCGCAAGCCUGAUGCAGCCAUGCCGCGUGUAUGAAGAAGGCCUUCGGGUUGUAAAGUACUUUCAUCGGAGAGGCGUUACCCGCAGAAGAAGCACCGGCUAACUCCGUGCCAGCAGCCGCGGUAAUUC
rnacentral:rRNA from 1 species